UUGAACGCUGGCGGCAUGCUUUACACAUGCAAGUCGAACGGUAACAGGGAGCUUGCUCCGCUGACGAGUGGCGAACGGGUGAGUAAUGCGUCGGAACGUACCGAGUAAUGGGGGAUAACGCACCGAAAGGUGUGCUAAUACCGCAUACGCCCUGAGGGGGAAAGUGGGGGAUCGCAAGACCUCACGUUAUUCGAGCGGCCGACGUCUGAUUAGCUAGUUGGUGAGGUAAUGGCUCACCAAGGCGACGAUUAGUAGCGGGUCUGAGAGGAUGAUCCGCCACACUGGAACUGAGACACGGUCCAGACUCCUACGGGAGGCAGCAGUGGGGAAUUUUGGACAAUGGGGGCAACCCUGAUCCAGCCAUUCCGCGUGAGUGAAGAAGGCCUUCGGGUUGUAAAGCUCUUUCAGCUGGAACGAAACGGUACGCUCUAACAUAGCGUGCUAAUGACGGUACCAGCAGAAGAAGCACCGGCUAACUACGU
rnacentral:rRNA from 1 species